rnacentral:lncRNA from 1 species
AAAUAAUUUCCUUUUCUAGCAGUUUCAACAAGAAUCCUGGAAUUGAGUCUCCUUAGGCAGACCUGUGUCAUGUUCCAUCUGGAGCAAAGGGAAGAGCUUGAACAGCUCCUCAGAAGCUCUUGGGACGCUCUCUCUUUGAAUGAGCCAUCACGUGGCGAGAAGCUUAACCGGCAGGAAGAGACAGACUUGCCUGCAGCCUCUCCAAGGGAGGAAAGUCAGAGAAUUUCAGGGCCAUGCUUUAAAAUGCCCUGUGUUGUGGAAAAC